rnacentral:lncRNA from 1 species
GUUGGACCCGGCUCCGCCCUACCCCACGGGGCCGCCUGGAGAGGUGCUGGGAGCUGGGUGGAGCUUAGAGGAAUUAAACUUUGGCCCUGCGCCUCGUCCAGCCUAGGUUCCACCCUUUUCUGGGAACGCUGGAGUGCAGUGGCACCAUCUCGGCUCACUGCAACCUCUGGCUCCCAGGUUCAAGCGAUUCUCCUGCCUCAGCCCCCUGAGUAGCUGGGAUUACAGGCACGCGCCACCACUCCCAGGGUCUUACUCUGUGACCCACGCUGGAGUGCAAUGGCACCAUCACGACUUACUGAAGCCUCCACUUCCCGGGCUCAAGUGAUUCUCACACCUCAGCCUCCUGAGUAGCUGAGACCACAGAUGGAGUUUUGCUCUUGUUGCCCAGGCUGGAGUGCAAUGGCAAGAUCUCAGCUCACCACAACCUCUGCCUUCUUUUUUCUUCUGUUUUUAAAACUUGUGGUAAAAUCUAGAUAACAAAAAGUUUGCCAUUUUAACCAUUUUUAAGUGGACAGUUCAGUGGCAUUAGUUACAUUCCCAAUGUUGUGUAACCACCACUAUUAUCCAUUUCCAGAAGGUUUUCAUCACCCGAAACAGAAACUCUGUACCCAUUAAAUAGUAACUCCCCAUUCUACCCUUCUCUCCCUCCAUAACCUCUGUUUUACCUUCUGCAUCCAUCAAGUUGCCUGUUAUAGAUAAUUCACAUAGAAUCAUUCAGUAUUUGUUUCUUUUUGUAUCACGUAUCAAAAUUUCCUUUUUUUUUUUUUGCUUUUGAGACAGUCUUGCUUUGUCGCCCAGGCUGGAGUGCAGGUGCACAACCAUGGCUCACUGCAGCCCUCACCUCUCCUGCUCGAGAGUUCCUCCCACCUCAGCCAUCUGAGUAGCUGGGACUACAUGUGUGCGCCACCAUACCCAACUAAUUUUUUGGUUUUUUUUGUACAUACGGGGUUUUGCCAUGUGGCCCAGGGUGGUCUCGAACUCCUGGGCUGAAGUGAUCCACCCACCUUGGUCUCCCAAAGUGUUGGGAUUACAAGCAUGAGCCACUGCGCUGGAAUGCAAUGACACGAUCUCAGCUCACUGCAACCUCUGCCUCUCGGGUUCAAGUGAUUCUCCUGCCUCAGCCUCCCAAGUAGCUGGGAGUAGAGCCAUGCGCCACCACGCCCGGCUAAUUUUUGUAUUUUUAGUAGAGACGGGGUUUCGCCAUGUUGGUCAGGCUGAUCUCGAUCUCCUGACCUCAGGUGAUCACCUGCCUCAGCCUCCCAAAGUCCUGGGAUUACAGACGUGAGCCACUGCGCCUGGCCUAUGCUUUAAAAUAAAAAUAGAGAUUGGGUGUCUGGCUAUUAUGUUGCCCAGGCUGGUCUUGAACUCCUGGCCUCAUCCUUCCCCCUCCACCUCCCAAAGCACGGGGAUUAUAGGUGUGAGCCACCACAUCUUAUCCUUCUGGUGCAUUUUGAAGGUAGAGACCCUAAGUCAGAUUUGCUGAUGAAUCAAUGUGGGGGACGUGGCACAGUUAACCACUCCCUCCCCUCCCCUCCCCAUCCCCGUCCCCUCUGUCGUCCCCUCCCCCUCCCCUCACCCCUUCCCUCUCCUUUUUUUUUUUUUUUUUUUUUUUUUUUUUUGAGAGGGAGUUUCGCUCUUGUCCCCCAGGCUGGAGUGCAAUGGCGUAAUCUUGGCUCAUCGCAACCUUCGCCUCCUGGGUUCAUGCAGUUCUCCUGUCUCAGCCUCCAGAGUAGGUGGGAUUACAGGUGCACACCACCAUGCCUAGCUAAUUUUUAUAUUUUUAGUAGAGAUGAGGUUUUGCCAUGUUGGUCAGGCUAGUCUCAAACUCCUGGCCUCAAGCGAUCUGCUGGCCUUGGCCUCCCAAAGUGUAAGGAUUACAGGCAUGAGCACCGCCCCAGCCCACACCCUUUUGCUUGAGGCACUUUUUUCUUCUUUUUUUUUGAGGCGGAGUCUUGCUCUUUCGCCCAGGCUGGAGUGCAGUGGCGCUAUCUCGAGCCCCGCCUCCCGGGUUCACGACAUUCUCCUGCCUCAGCCUCCUGAGUAUCUGGGACUACCGGCGUCUGCCACCACGCCCAGCUAAUUUUUUUUUUGCAUUUUUACUAGAGACGGGUUUUCACUGUGUUAGCCAGGAUGGACACUUUCUUCUUCCUUUGGAAAUACAUCCUCUGGUUUCCCUCCUCCCUCGCUGGCCUCUCCUCUCAGACUCUUCUGCCUGCUCUACUCCAGGUGCAUUGAAAUGCCCCAGACCUCUGUGUGGGGAGUCUUCUAUGCCACACCCUUCCUAGAUGACAUCAUCUGGCCCUAAGUUUUCAGUAUGAGUCAAUGUGUUGGUGAUGCCCAGAUUCCCACCUCCAGCCCUGAUUUCUUCCAAGUGCUCUAGAGUCAUAUACUUAUUUGCCUGCUUGAUGUCCCUUCUUGGAUGUCAAACAGUCAUCUCAAAAUUCAACUCUUGAUCCUCUCCCCUGCUCCAAACUUCGCCAUCUCAGUAAAUGCGUUAUAUUCCUCCUGGUUGCAUAGGCUUCAAACCUAGGAGUCAUCCUUGAAUAGACCCUCUUUCUUGCCUCCGCGUUUGAGCUUUCAGCAAGUCCUGUCAUUCAGACCAUUCACACGUAUUGAAAAUCCAUCCCUUUCUUGCCGUCUUGACUGAACGUUCUGAUGAAGUCGUCACCACUGCUCCCUGGACCUCUGUCCUCACUAACAGCGCUUCCUGUUUCCAUUCCUGCUGCUCCAGAGUCCAUCCAUCUCCUCCCUUUUCAGAGAGGCUUCUCUGACCACCCUUUGCAAUGGCUGCUCCAUGGCCCCUGCUAGAACAGGCUGUCAUGCUCUUGUGGGUCUGCUUGUAUAUUUAUCUCUUUUCUGCCUCCACUAGAAGGUGAGCUCUGACAGGGCAGAGGUUCUGGCUGCCUGGUUCCGUGCUGCAUUUUCAGAGUCUAGAAUAGUGCCUAGCACAUGGUACGUGAUGAGGAAAUCUCUUUCCUGAUGAAUGAGCGAAGCAGAGAAUCCUCAGAAUCCGAGGAUGCUCUCUCUCUGUCUUGGGAGCUAGAGGAACUCUUCAUUUUUCCCUUCAUGAAUCUGCUCCACUGUCCUUUCUGUUUAUUGGCUUCCUCAGUGUUUGGUUUGCCAUGGCGCCAUCUUGGUCCCAUUUCUCAUGCUCUGCUCAGCUCAAAGCAGUCCACGGGUUCAACUCUCAGUGCCCCAGGAAGGGGAAACCCACUUCACUUGGGUCAAGUGUUCAUUUUCCAUCCUCCCUGUCUCCACCCCAAUCAGCAAAGGCUAGUGGCUGGUGGUAAAAGGAAGGCUAGUGGCUGGGGGUAAAAGGCCACCAGCAGAGGGGGCUCUCCAGAGGCAGGCCCAUCCCCAGCUCCUCCCGAGUAAGUGCCAAUCACCCAGAGGUGGAUCCUCUUUCAGGGCCCUGACUUGCAAAGCUGAGGACCAGCUUCCUGUCAGUGGUAACCCUCAGUGAGGGCCUUGUCUGAGCAGCCAGCAGCCUCUGAGACAUUUCCACAUGGGCACUGGCUAACUUAAAAAAGAUAAGUAUUCACCCUUCCCAGGAGGUACUGAUGUCAGGAAUAGCCAAGAGUGCAGUCUUGGUCUGUAAGGAGGUGGCCCUUCCACUCCAUACGGCCCUUCCCAGGAUACUGCUGUAUCCUGGGGUCUGCUCGUGGUGCCAGCAAGCAGGCGUUCCUUGGGAGCCCCCCUCAGCCCUCCCACCCACUGCUGUCCUCUCUCCCUGCCCCCAUCUGUGUAAGGACCCUCUGAUAUAUGUUCACUUAGUAAGCUGUGUGUGUGUAGUGGGGUGUCUUUGUCAAUGAUCUGCUCCUUUUCUCUGAAAACUUUAAGGACUUUGAUAUUUUUGGAUUCACAAUAGUAUGUGUAGAUGUCAGAUUUUCCUCAUCUCUCUCCUGUGGCCUCUGUGGGUUCUCUCAGUCUGAGGUCUUUCAUCUCUCUUUAAUUCUGGGAAAUUAAUCUCCAUUCUGUCUUCAAAUAUCACCUCCCUUCCAUAUUUUCCCCUUCCUUCUGCAACUCCUAUUACCUGGAUAUUAACAUUUCUGUUUCUGUCCUCCAUGAUUCUAACUUUUUAAGUUAUUUUCCUUGUUUUUUUUUUAUCCUUUCUUUCCUAUCAGAAUUUCUCAAGUUGAUCUUUCAUUUUCACUAAUUCUUUUCUUGACCGUGUCAAUUUAUUCCAUUAAUUCUGUUCUGUAUGUCAAUAUUAUAUUUUUUACCCUGAUCUUUCCACUUGGCUCUUCUGUAUGGUUUGUUGUUUUUGUGACAUGGUCAUGGCGGUGUGGGUUGUGGUGGGAGGGGGUUACCCCCGAUAUAGUCUGGAUAUUUGUCUGCGCCUAAAUCUCCUGUCAGAAUGUAAUAGUGGGUGCUAGAGGUGGGGCCUGGUGGGAGGUGUUUGGACCAGGGGGGCAGUGUUAGUGCCCCGCAUAUGCUCUCUUUGCGAAAAUAAGCAAGUUAUUAAAAAAUCUGGUCAUGUAAAAGUAUGUGACACCUCUCCCCCUCCCUGCUCCUGCUUUCUCCAUGUGAAAUGCCUGCUCCCACUUCGCCUUCUGCCAUGAUUGAAAGAUCCUUGAGUCUUCAUCAGAAGCUGAGCAGAUGCCAGCACCAUGCUUCCUGUACAGCCUGUAGAACCAUGAGCCAAUUAAAUCUCUUUUCUUUAUAAAUUACCCAGUCUCAGGUUUUUUUUUUUUUUUUUUGAGAUGGAGUUUCACUCUUGUUUCCCAGGCUGGAGUGCAAUGGCGUGAUCUUGGCUCACUGCAACCUCUGCCUCCCGGGUUCAAGUAAUUCUCUUGCCUCAGCCUCCCGAGUAGUUGGGAUUACAGGCGUACACCACCACACCUGGGUAAUUACGUAUUUUCAGUAGAGACGGGUUUCUCCAUGUUGGUCAGGCUGGUCUCGAACUCCUGACCUCGGGUGAUCCGCCUGCCUCGGCGUCCCAAAGUACUGGGAUUACAGGUAUGAGCCACCGUGCCCAGCCGGUUUUUUUUUUUUUUUUUGUAUAGCAAUGGAAGAAUGGCCUCGUACACACGCUAGAGUGGAAAGUCCCAGGCACCAAGGCUUCCCACCCUAGAAGCAAGCUCAGGGCUUUCUCUUCAUCCUUCCAGGGAGAGCACUGAGAGAUGAUGGGGGGUUGGCAGGGGGCAUCCCUUGGAUUAUCAUUCUCCAGACUUAGGCUUGGAGGGGAGGGUGGAGAAGUGGAUUUCUGGGUCUGGUCCACCUCACCUGUUUUCUCAGCUUCUCACCCACUCAGAGCUCUUGCCCCAAUUCUCCCUUUCAUCCUGCAGAUCCCUGCGCCUGACUCAUCUCAGGCGAGGAGGCAAAUCAUCAGUUAUCUCAGGCAGCAGCAGGACGAGACUCCUUUCUGAUUUUCUCCUUCCCUGGCCACCUCUCCCCACCCCAUAUUCACUCAUUCCAAACCUCUGGCCUCCCCAGCAACUCUACAUCCUCAUCUCCAUCUGUUCCCUCUCUCGAUGCUGUGGGUGACGUUGGAGAGGGAAGCCCGGAGCCCUGACCUAGUCCGGCGUGGAGAGAGGAAUGGAAAGCAGUGUCCCUUUUGAGAAGGCAAAUUUACAGCUGGCUUUUGUAAUCCUAGCUAUUUUUUGUUUGUUUGCUAAGUCUUUGAUAGUCCCCAGUGUGGUUUGUCUGCCAGUGAUCUCAGCACCACCAGAGAGCUUGUUAGAAAUGCGGCAUCCCAACCCCACCACAGCCCUCCCAAGUCAGAUACUGCCACCUCACGAGGCCCCCCAGGGAUCCACAAGUUCAUUAAAGUUUCAGGAAUCCAAUUCUACUACAAAAUAUACAUUUAUAAUUAGGAAAAGGAUAGUUUCUUUUAAAUGGUAGAACUUCCCCAAUGAGUCAGCUACCUGUAUUUCUGGCCUGUCAGGCUAGACACUGGAGACCAUUCUGCAUAGAAUUGUACCUCCCUGAACUACUGUUAGGCCUUAGGGUGGGGAUUCAUCUUUCCCUUCUCCCCACCAUGGAGACAAAAUCCUCUUAAACAUAUCCGGGCCUGGCAUGGUGGCUCACGCCUGUAAUCCCAACACUAUGGGAGUCCGAGGAGGGUGGAUUACCUGAGGUCGGGAGUUUGAGACCAGCCUGACCAACAUGGAGAAACCCCGUCUCUACUAAAAAUACAAAAUUAGCCGGGCAUGGUGGCACAUGCCUGUAAUCCCAGCUACUCGGGAGGCUGAGGCGGGAGAAUUGCUUGAACCUGGGAGGCAGAGGUUGCAGUGAGCCAAGAUCACGCCAUUGCACUCCAGCCUUGGCAACAAGAGCAAAACUCCAUCUCAAAAAACAAAAACAAAAACAAAAAAUAAAACAUAUCCAGCAGUAGGCCAGACACGGUGGCUCACCCCUGUAAUCCCAGCACUUUGGGAGGCUGAGGCAGGUGGAUCACUGGAGGUCAGGAGUUUGAGACCAGCCUGGCCAACAUGGUGAAACCCCAUCCUUUACUAAAAAUACAAAAAUUAGCUGGGUGUGGGGGCAUGUGCCUGUAAUUCCAGCUACUCAGGAGGCUAAGGUAGAAGAAUCGCUUGAACCCAGGAGGCGGAGGUUGCAGUGAGCCGAGAUCGUGCCACUGCACUCCAGCCUGGGCUACAGAGUGAGACUCCAUCUCAAAAAACAAACAUGGUGGCUCACGCCUGUAAUCCCAGCACUUUGGGAGGCCGAAGCAGGUGGAUCACCUGAGGUCAGGAGUUCGAGACCAGCCUGGCCAAGAUGGUGAAACCCUGUCUCUACUAAAAAUACAAAAAUUAGCCAGGCAUGGUGGUGGGCGCCUGUAGUACCAGCUACUUGGGAGGCUGAAGCAGGAGAAUCGCUUGAACCCAGGAGGUGGAGGUUGCAGUGAGCCAAGAUCAUGCCACUGCACUCCAGCCUGGGCGACAGAGCGAGACUCUGUCUCAAACAGGCCAGGCGUGGUGGCUCAUGCCUGUAAUACCAGCACUUUGGUAGGCCAGGAGUUCAAGAUGAGCCUGGCCAACAUGGUGAAACCCCGUCUAUACUAAAAAUACAAAAAGACUGGCGUGGUGGUGGGCGCCUGUAAUCACAGCUACUUGGGAGGCUGAGGCAGGAGAAUCGCUCGAACCCAGGAGGCGAAGGUUGCGGUGAGCCAACAUUGCACCACUGCACUCCAGCCUGGGCGACACAGCAAGACUCUGCCUCAAAAUAAAUAAACAAACAAACAAAAAUAUCUGGCAGCAAUUUUCAAGCAUUCAAAAGAGAUGUGAAGGAAAAAAAUUUGGCCGGGAGCAGUGGCUCACGCCUGUAAUCCCAGCACUCUGGGAGGCCAAGGUGUGCGGAUCACGAGGUCAAGAGUUCGAGACCA